GCACCUGGCCUAUUUCUACUUCCUCCUUUCCAAUCUGAAUGCCUUUUAUUUCUUUUUCUUGCCAAUUGCUCUGGCUGGAACCUCUAGCACUUUGUUGAACACAGUGGUGAGAGCACAUAUCCUUGUCUUGUUCCUGAUCUUAAGGGAACAUUUUCAGUCUUUCACCACUAGAUGUGGUGUGAGCUGUUGGAUUUUCAAGGAUGCUCUUUAUCCAGCUGAAGACGUUCCCUUGUAGUCCUAAUUUGUUAAGUGUUUUCAUCCUUAAAGGGUACUGGAUUUUGUCAAAUGCUUUUCUGGCCUCUGUUGAAAAGAUCCUGUGUUCUUCUGUUAAUGUGAGGUGUUACAUUGAUUGAUUUUCAUAUGUUGAGCCAGUUUCCAUUUCUGGAAUACAUCCAACUCGGUCAUGGUGUAUAAUCCAUUUACUCUGCUGCUGAAUGUGAUUUGCUUGUAUUUUGGUGCAGAUUUUUACAUCUGCAUUUAUAAGGAAUAUUGGUCUGAUGUUUUCUUACGAUAUCUUCCUCUGGUUUUGAUAUCAGGAUAUUAGCCUCAUAGAUUGGGUUAGGAAGUGUUCUUUCCUCCGUUUUUUUGGGAAGAGAGAGAUUGGUGUUAAUUCUUGCUAGAACCUUUGGUAGAAUUUGCCAGUGAGCCUAUCUGGUCUUGGGUCUUUGGGAGGAUUUUGAUUCUGAUUCAAUCUAUGUAUUUGUUAUAGAUUGUUCGGAUUGUCCAUCCUUGAGUCAGUUGCUAGCUUGUGUGUUUCCAGGAGUUUUUCCGUUUCGUCCAUGUUAUCGCAUCUGUUGGCAUACUGUUGUUCACAGGAUUUUCUUGAUGUGUGUGAGGCCUCUGAGAAUGUCCCUGCCUUCACUCCUGCUUUUAGUCACUGGCAUCUUCUUUUAACUUGGGCCGUUUGGCUGUGCAUGGUUUUGGGGGAGUCCUCCUUGACUCUGCAGAUGCUGAGCAGUGAUGUGGCUGGGAAAGGGGACCGGGAGUGCAGGGCACCUCCUGAGGACUCACCUAAGCCCAAGAUUCAGAGAGAGCUCCAACCACAUCUGCCUGCAAGCCUUUCCCAGGCUCUCCCCACGCAGACAGCCAGCACCCCCUCCCCAAAGACCGGGCAGUUCCUGACCAGCACCCCACCAAGCCCUCAGUAAGGCGUGUCUUUGGGGGAGCAGGAUUUCAGGAGGACAGUGGAGGUGGCGUAGAACUCACGGCUGGCGGUUCUGGGCCUCUCAGGAAGCUUUGCCACUGGGCUUGGGGUUAAGUGGGUGUGGGGCUCCGAACCCUAAAGGGGUGAGAGUUGAAAUGAAAGCGGCACCUGUAGUCCAUUUGGGGUGCAGGUGUGUGCCAGGGGUCCUCAGCCCCAGCUGAUGGCCACAUGAACCGCAUGAGGAGAGGCAGGGCGUGUCAGCAGCAAACCUAAGUGUGUGCACAUUUCUAUGGGCCCUCACUCUGUGACACUGCAGCUCUCCAGAGGGACGCUUUGAAAACAAAACAGGAAAGAACACACAGCCCCGCGUCUCUUGCCUGAGUCACUGUAUUCCUUAAAAGUUGAAGCACCCUGGUCCUUGGCUUUUCCUGCACAUGAGAAAAUGUUGGCCAAGGUUAGCGAUUAUGCUUCUGUAAUCUGUAACCAGAAGUGCUCUUACGCCCAAGCCUUGGUGUGAUUUUGCUGUAAUGUAACUUCAGAGCCAGCUGGAUGGAUGUGACUGUGCAGGUCCUGAGCCCCGGCCCCUGUAUCCAAGCAGUGGGCCGAGACACUGAGCCGGGCAGUCAGACAGGACCUCUCUAAGGCUGCUCCCGGGCUGGGGCCUGGGUCUAGGAUUCUCAGUAAGACCUUUGAAUAAAACUAACUUGAAUUCUUCAAAA